rnacentral:rRNA from 1 species
GCUCACGGGUGUACCUGCUCUGCUGUCUCAAGAUUAAGCCAUGCACGUCUAAGCAGAAGCUGAACAAUGGUAAAGCCGCGAAUGGUUCAUUACAACAGCCGUCGUUUCUUGGAUCUCUUGUUUUACUUGGAUAACUGUGGCAAUUCUAGAGCUAAUACACGCACCAAAGCUCUGACCUUAUGGGAUGGGCGCAUUUAUUAGAACAAAACCAAUCGGGUUUCGGCCCGUCCGCUGGUGACUCUGAAUAACUACACUAAUCCCACGGACUCAAACUGGCGAUGCAUCUUUCAAGUGUCUGCCUUAUCAACUUUCGAUGGUAAUUUAUGUGCCUACCAUGGUUGUAACGGGUAACGGAAAAUAAGGGUUCGACUCCGGAGAGGGAGCCUGAGAAACGGCUACCACAUCCAAGGAAGGCAGCAGGCGCGCAAAUUACCCACUCUCAGCACGAGGAGGUAGUGACGAAAAAUAACGAGACGGAUCUCUUUGAGGCCCGUUAUCGGAAUGAGAACAAUUCAAAUCCUUUAGCGAGGAUCUAGCGGAGGGCAAGUCUGGUGCCAGCAGCCGCGGUAAUUCCAGCUCCGCAGGUGUAUAUCUAUGCUGCUGCGGUUAAAAAGCUCGUAGUUGGAUCUGCGUGCUUGGAACUGGUUGGCUCACUGAGUUCAAACUGGUCUCCAGCACUUUACUUGCUGGUUUUCCCUUAAUGCUCUUAACCGGGU